AUACCGGCAGUCCAAGUGAUGGCCGAUUUUAUUGGGCCUAAAGCGUCCGUAGCUUGCUGUGUAAGUCCAUUGGGAAAUCGACGCGCUCAACGCGUCGGCGUCCGGUGGAAACUGCGCGGCUUGGGGCCGAGAGACUCGACGGGUACGUCCGGGGUAGGAGUGAAAUCCUGUAAUCCUGGACGGACCACCAAUGGCGAAAGCACGUCGAGAGACCGGACCCGACAGUGAGGGACGAAAGCCAGGGGCUCGAACCGGAUUAGAUACCCGGGUAGUCCUGGCUGUAAACGAUGCUCGCUAGGUAUGUCACGCACCAUGAGUGCGUGAUGUGCCGUAGUGAAGACGAUAAGCGAGCCGCCUGGGAAGUACGUCUGCAAGGAUGAA
rnacentral:rRNA from 2 species